GAUGAACGCUAGCUACAGGCUUAACACAUGCGAGUCGAGGGGAAACGACAUCGAAAGCUUGCUUUUGGUGGGCGUCGACCGGCGCACGGGUGAGUAACGCGUAUCCAACCUGCCCACCACUUGGGGAUAACCUUGCGAAAGUAAGACUAAUACCCAAUGAUAUCCCACGAAGGCAUCCGAAUGGGAUUAAAGAUUUAUCGGUGAUGGAUGGGGAUGCGUCUGAUUAGCUUGUUGGCGGGUAACGGCCCACCAAGGCUACGAUCAGUAGGGGUUCUGAGAGGAAGGUCCCCCACAUUGGAACUGAGACACGGUCCAAACUCCUACGGGAGGCAGCAGUGAGGAAUAUUGGUCAAUGGGCGAGAGCCUGAACCAGCCAAGUAGCGUGCAGGAUGACGGCCCUAUGGGUUGUAAACUGCUUUUUCAGGGGGAUAAAGUGAGUGACGUGUCAUUCAUUGCAGGUACCCUGCGAAUAAGGACCGGCUAAUUCCGUG
rnacentral:rRNA from 1 species